UCGAGAAUCAUUCACAAUGGGCGAAAGCCUGAUGGUGCGACGCCGCGUGGAGGAUGACAGCCCUAGGGUUGUAAACUCCUGUCAUGAGAGAGUAAAGACUUAACGCUAAUAUCGUUGGGUCCUGAUAGUAUCUCAAGAGGAAGGGACGGCUAACUUCGUGCCAGCAGCCGCGGUAAUACGAAGGUCCCAAGCGUUGUUCGGAAUUACUGGGCGUAAAGCGUGCGUAGGCGGCAUGGUAAGUCAGAUGUGAAAUCCCGGGGCUCAACCUCGGAACUGCAUCCGAUACUGCCAAGCUAGAGUAGUGGAGGGGAGUCUGGAAUUCACGGUGUAGCAGUGAAAUGCGUAGAUAUCGUGAGGAACACUAGUGGCGAAGGCGAGACUCUGGACACUAACUGACGCUGAGGCACGAAGGCUAGGGUAGCGAAAGGG
rnacentral:rRNA from 1 species